GAUGAAGAACGUAGCGAAAUGCGAUAAGUAAUGUGAAUUGCAGAAUUCAGUGAAUCAUCGAAUCUUUGAACGCAUCUUGCGCUCCUUGGUAUUCUGAGGAGCAUGCCUGUUUGAGUGUCAUUAAAUUCUCAACUACACUGACUUUGAAUUGGUGUGGCUUGGAUUUGGGGGGAAAAUUGUUGUGGGCUUUUUGUAUAGUCUGCUCCCCUGAAAUUGAUUAGCGGUACCUUUGUGGAACUGUCUACAGGUGUGAUAAUUAUCUACAUCUUAGACAUCUGCUGGAAUGCUGCUUUCUAAACCUUACUUGUAUUGACAAUCUUGACCUCAAAUCAGGUAGGACUACCCGCUGAACGUAAGCAUAUCAAUAAGCGGAGGA
rnacentral:misc_RNA from 1 species